UACCAGCACCCCGAGUGGUCGGGACGAUUAUUGGGCCUAAAGCAUCCGUAGCCGGUCAUGCAAGUCUUCCGUUAAAUCCAGCCGCUCAACGGUUGGGCUGCGGAGGAUACUACGUGGCUAGGAGGCGGGAGAGGCAAGCGGUACUCAGUGGGUAGGGGUAAAAUCCUUAGAUAUGAUGUAGAACACCGAUUGCGAAGGCAGCUCACUAAAUUGUAACUGACACUGAGGCACGAAAGCGUGGGGAUCAAACAGG
rnacentral:rRNA from 1 species